rnacentral:lncRNA from 10 species
CAAAAUCGUCUUUGGAGAAAGACACAGACCUGUCUUCAGGUCAUUGCCUUAACCUUGGCAAAAUAAACUUCUAAAUGGAUUGAGACCUGUCUCAGAUACUUUUUGGUUUACAAGGGCGAGCUCACAAGGCUUUAGCGGACCUCUGGGAGCGUGCACAAAGAAGGGACGCUUGAAUUGCUUGUUUUCUCAAGAAGUGUCAGGUCUGAGAGCCUGAAGCUACCCAGCCAAGUACUCCUCACGUCUCCUCCCUGCCUUACAGGGAGGGGAUUCAGCGUUGGUUUUGACUGUCACCAGGACUGGACAUCCUGAUGACCGAAAAAGCAGAUGGCGUUUGUGACUAUAUAUACAUAAUACAACAGAGAAAGCCAAAAAUCCAAGGAACUGCAAGAAUUUUUAUCCGGGUGAAGAUUAUCCUGACAGAGAAAAGUUAGGUGAGGAAGACAAAAACAAAGCUGUAUUUGGAUAAUGUCACGAGUCCUGUUUGUUCAACACACUGGACACAGCAAGACGACUGACUGAAUUAGCCUCCCAUGGCCUCUGCCCAGGCUGGAUAAGAACCUCAAACCUAGGAGGGAGUGGAGGAGACGGAGCUUGGAGAGGGUCUCACUCUGUUGCCUAGGCUGGAGAAGUGUUGUGCCAUGAUCUCGGCUCACUGCAACGUCCUCCGCCUCCUGGGUUCAAGUGAUUCUCCUGCCCCAGCCUCCUGAAUGCCUGGCUAAUUUUUUUUUUGUAUGUUUAGUAGAAACGGGGUUUCACCAUGUUGACUAGACUGAUCUUGAACUCCUGGCUUCAAG